CCAACCCGUGAAUCACCGCUCUCGCCUGCUCAGGGCCCACUGCCGUAGAACUGGAUAAGCACCACCAGGUCCUGGUGUUCAGCGUCCGCCUCCGUAGAACUGGAUAAGCACCACCAGUGGAGUUCAUUCGAUGUGGUCACACUUCCACCAGCAGAAGCAUGGUAAGGCCCAGAUAUCUGACCAAUGAAGGACGUGGAUUAAGUCAAUGGAAACUUAAGGAAACGGACAAAAAGACUAACUAAUAAACUGCCCAAGUCCCAUGUCCUGUAAAAACGGAGCUUACCCUGGAGUUUAAAAUCAUUUCAUACAUAACCUGCCACCUAAUGAUGAUGUAGGAAAACUUUUAGCCUGAAUACAAACCUGUAGUGGCUUUAGUGUUAAAUACAUUGCUGAAGGAACCAAAGCAAAGGGGGAAUUGUUUACCUAUGAAUACUUCAGCGAUAUGCCUUACAGAUUUUCUCUCUGUAUCUCAAGUAAAAUUAAAAUUGUUGUUUUUAUCUAGUAAAAAUAAACUGUCAGUUGAGGAACUUAAGUGAAACAAUAUGGGAUUAAAAGACACAAAAGAGAGGAUAUGAACCCUUUAACUCCCCACCAUCGCCGUUUACAUACCAGUACACAUUCCUGUUAAAAGAGAAAAAGGUCGGGAAGAAGAGUUCUCAAGUGACAAGUGGAAGCGAAGAAGCAGUCAUUGCAUCGCCUAAGUCUCGUGGUCAGGAUUUCCAAACAGUAUUUGCGUGAUAAUUUUGCCUAGCGGAUGUUACCUAGAAAAAAAGACACAAGUUCUGCAGGCUCAUGUGAAGAAUCAUCGAAGAACUAAGAUUAUAUAAAGCAUAAAGAUUAUUCCCCUCUAUAGCCAGAGGAGUGACUCUGAGGAAAAGUGAUCACGAUACUUGAAAAGGAAUCGCAAUGUCUUGGCUGAAAAUUUAAAUAUUUUCAUUAUGUGCAUUUUCCAAAGCAGAUCGAUGCAUUUGAAUAAAAGGGGUCCGUUUCAGCAUUUUCGAAAUAAAUGGCAGUGUUGAAAGAAGUAGUAGCAACAGGUCAUGGCUUAACGAUUCGUCUGGAGCAUUUAAUAUAAUAAAAAAAUCCUCUUCAGAUGUCUAUCCCGGGAACCAACAACAGGAGAAAGUUAACAGGCAAAGGAACAUGUUUCAGUCGAAUCAUAAUCACGAGAAUUAGUAGAUUCAGAAUGACUGAAAAUCAAUUAUAGGAAUAAGAAAACAUAUGAAAAAAAGUCACAAAAAGUUAAAAAUCAACGCCGAGGAACAACAGUAACAGGGAAAGGAGUAGACGUUGCGACCAGAGAGAAAGCUGGAGAUUAGCGUGCAGGGUAGGGGCGUAAAGCCUA